GUAGUCUCGCACAGAUGCAUAUCAAUAAGCGGAGGAAAAGAAACUAACAAGGAUUCCCUCAGUAACGGCGAGUGAAGCGGGAAGAGCUCAAAUUUGAAAUCUUGAAAGGUCACCUUUCACGAAUUGUAGUUUAAAGAAGUGUUUUCUGUUACGAUCGUAAUAUAAGUUCUUUGGAAUAGGACAUCACAGAGGGUGAGAAUCCCGUCUAUGAUUGCGAUUUGUAGCUUUGUGAUACACUUUCAAAGAAUCGGGUUGUUUGGGAAUGCAGCCCAAAACGGGAGGUAAAUUUCUUCUAAGGCUAAAUAUUGGCGAGAGACCGAUAGCGAACAAGUACCGUGAGGGAAAGAUGAAAAGAACUUUGAAAAGAGAGUUAAAUAGUACGUGAAAUUGUCAAAAGGGAAGCGUUUAACACCAGUGUUGUUUUCUGAAAAUCAACCUCUGUUAGCUUUACUGCAUGUUUGUUUAGACCUAAUCAGCUAUCUUGCAUGUUCUAUUGUUUGCAGUGGUGCACUUUUCAGUUUACAGGUCAACAUCAGUUUUUUUUACCGUAAAAAAGUUAAAGAAAGGUAGCUCAUGGCUCCGGUCGUGAGUGUUAUAGUCUUUUUCCUAUGCGGUAGGAGAGACUGAGGUCUGCAGUGUAGGCUAUUUGGCUAGAUACUCAGGUGCUAUGUGAUACCAUUUCAUAAACAACUUGUUGAUUAUGUUUUGUCUAUUGCAUACUCGCUUGUACUAUCAUACCUACGCUUAGGAUGUUGAGUCGUAGAGCACGCAG
rnacentral:rRNA from 1 species